UACGAAGGGGGCUAGCGUUGUUCGGAUUUACUGGGCGUAAAGCGCACGUAGGCGGAUUUUUAAGUCAGGGGUGAAAUCCCGAGGCUCAACCUCGGCACUGCCUUUGAUACUGGAAGUCUUGAGUUCGGAAGAGGUGAGUGGAAUUGUGAGUGUAGAGGUGAAAUUCGUAGAUAUGCACAAGAACACCGGUGGCGAAGGCGGCUCACUGGUUCGAAACUGACGCUGAGGUGCGAAAGCGUGGGGAGCAAACAGG
rnacentral:rRNA from 1 species